GACGAACGCUUGCGGCGUGCUUAACACAUGCAAGUCGAACGGAAAGGCCCUGCUUUUGUGGGGUGCUCGAGUGGCGAACGGGUGAGUAACACGUGAGUAACCUGCCCUUGACUUUGGGAUAACCUCAGGAAACUGGGGCUAAUACCGGAUAGGAGCUCCUGCUGCAUGGUGGGGGUUGGAAAGUUUCGGCGGUUGGGGAUGGACUCGCGGCUUAUCAGCUUGUUGGUGGGGUAGCGGCUUACCAAGGCUUUGACGGGUAGCCGGCCUGAGAGGGUGACCGGCCACAUUGGGACUGAGAUACGGCCCAGACUCCUACGGGAGGCAGCAGUGGGGAAUAUUGCACAAUGGGCGGAAGCCUGAUGCAGCAACGCCGCGUGCGGGAUGACGGCCUUCGGGUUGUAAACCGCUUUCGCCUGUGACGAAGCGUGAGUGACGGUAAUGGGUAAAGAAGCACCGGCUAACUACGUGCCAGCAGCCGCGGUGAUACGUAGGGUGCGAGCGUUGUCCGGAUUUAUUGGGCGUAAGGGCUCGUAGGUGGUUGAUCGCGUCGGAAGUGUAAUCUUGGGGCUUAACCCUGAGCGUGCUUUCGAUACGGGUUGACUUGAGGAAGGUAGGGGAGAAUGGAAUUCCUGGUGGAGCGGUGGAAUGCGCAGAUAUCAGGAGGAACACCAGUGGCGAAGGCGGUUCUCUGGGCCUUUCCUGACGCUGAGGAGCGAAAGCGUGGGGAGCGAACAGGCUUAGAUACCCUGGUAGUCCACGCUGUAAACGGUGGGUACUAGGUGUGGGGUCCAUUCCACGGGUUCCGUGCCGUAGUUAACGCUUUAAGUACCCCGCCUGGGGAGUACGGCCGCAAGGCUAAAGCUCAAAGGAAUUGACGGGGCCCCGCACAAGCGGCGGAGCAUGCGGAUUAAUUCGAUGCAACGCGUAGAACCUUACCUGGGUUUGACAUGGAUCGGGAGUGCUCAGAGAUGGGUGUGCCUCUUUUGGGGUCGGUUCACAGGUGGUGCAUGGCAGUCGUCAGCUCGUGUCGUGAGAUGUUGGGUUAAGUCCCGCAACGAGCGCAACCCUUGUUCACUGUUGCCAGCACGUUAUGGUGGGGACUCAGUGGAGACCGCCGGGGUCAACUCGGAGGAAGGUGGGGAUGACGUCAAGUCAUCAUGCCCCUUAUGUCCAGGGCUUCACGCAUGCUACAAUGGCUGGUACAGAGAGUGGCGAGCCUGUGAGGGUGAGCGAAUCUCGGAAAGCCGGUCUCAGUUCGGAUUGGGGUCUGCAACUCGACCUCAUGAAGUCGGAGUCGCUAGUAAUCGCAGAUCAGCAACGCUGCGGUGAAUACGUUCCCGGG
rnacentral:rRNA from 1 species